rnacentral:lncRNA from 1 species
AGAGAACAGCUGGGGAAGCCCUCGGAGCUCCAGACAAGGCUCCUUGGUGGAGAGAGAAGCUGGGGAAGCCCUCGGAGCUCCAGACAAGGCUCCUUGGUAGAGAGAGAAGCUGGGGAAGCCCUCGGAGCUCCAGACAAGGCUCCUUGGUGUAGAGUACAGCUGGGGAAGCCCUCGGAGCUCCAGACAAGGCUCCUUGGUGAAGAGAACAGCUGGGGAAGCCCUCGGAGCUCCAGACAAGGCUCCUUGGUGAAGAGAACAGCUGGGGAAGCCCUCGGAGCUCCAGACAAGGCUCCUUGGUGGAGAAAACAGUUGGGGAAGCCCUCGGAGCUCCAGACAAGGCUCCUUGGUGUAGAGAGCAGCUGGGGAAGCCCUCGGAGCUCCAGACAAGGCUCCUUGGUGGAGAGAGAAGCUGGGGAAGCCCUCGGAGCUCCAGACAAGGCUCCUUGGUGGAGAAAACAGUUGGGGAAGCCCUCGGAGCUCCAGACAAGGCUCCUUGGUGUAGAAAACAGUUGGGGAAGCCCUCGGAGCUCCAGAGACAAGGCUCCUUGGUGGAGAGAGAAGCUGGGGAAGCCUUCGGAGCUCCAGAGACAAGGCUCCUUGGUGGAGAGAACAGCUGGGGAAGCCCUCGGAGCUCCAGACAAGGCUCCUUGGUGUAGAGAGCAGCUGGGGAAGCCCUCAGAGCUCCAGACAAGGCUCCUUGGUGUAGAGAGCAGCUGGGGAAGCCCUCAGCGCUCCAGACAAGGCUCCGUGGUGGAGAGAACAGCUGGGGAAGCCCUCGGAGCUCCAGAGACAAGGCUCCUUGGUGGAGAGAACAGCUGGGGAAGCCCUCGGAGCUCCAGAGACAAGGCUCCUUGGUGUAGAGAACAGCUGGGGAAGCCCUCAGAGCUCCAGACAAGGCUCCUUGGUGGAGAAAACAGUUGGGGAAGCCCUCGGAGCUCCAGACAAGGCUCCUUGGUGGAGAAAACAGCUGGGGAAGCCCUCGGAGCUCCAGAGACAAGGCUCCUUGGUGGAGAGAACAGCUGGGGAAGCCCUCGGAGCUCCAGAGACAAGGCUCCUUGGUGGAGAGAACAGCUGGGGAAGCCCUCGGAGCUCCAGAGACAAGGCUCCUUGGUGGAGAGAACAGCUGGGGAAGCCCUCGGAGCUCCAGAGACAAGGCUCCUUGGUGGAGAGAGAAGCUGGGGAAGCCCUCGGAGCUCCAGAGACAAGGCUCCUUGGUGGAGAGAGAAGCUGGGGAAGCCCUCGGAGCUCCAGAGAAGGCUCCUUGGUGAAGAGAACAGCUGGGGAAGCCCUCGGAGCUCCAGACAAGGCUCCUUGGUGGAGAGAGAAGCUGGGGAAGCCCUCGGAGCUCCAGACAAGGCUCCUUGGUGGAGAAAACAGUUGGGGAAGCCCUCGGAGCUCCAGACAAGGCUCCUUGGAGAGAGCAGCUGGGGAAGCCCUCAGAGCUCCAGAGACAAGGCUACUUGGUGGAGAGAGAAACUGGGAUGCUGGCCCGUGUGA